CUGAAGCUGUCUAGCUUUAUAAAAGCCUGAGUAGAUCUAACUUGUUCAUAGUAUACCACUCUGGUGACAGACACAGUGAGACACACACUGUGAUACACAUACUAACCACCAUUCCCUUGUUUCUCUCUCUGUUAGUCUAAGGGCUGGGAUGCAAGUGAGAUGUUUAACUAGUAGACAUACAGAAUCAAUUCCACCAAUGGCUUCCUCUCCGUGUACAUAGACACCUGCCUCGGAUGAAGGAGACUGAGGGCAACCCCCCAGUAACAUCAUCUUGUCUCACUGAAAAACAAUGGAGGCAAGACUGAGGAGUACAAGUGCAAUACCAUGGUCCAAGAGAGAGAGGCGACAUGAAUGAAAUGUUGUGGAUGGAGCAUUCCAAUUGGUACCUUUCAGGUUGCUCAAACCGUUGGUAUGAUUUCAAGGAGGACAAUCACAUAUAUUUGCGAGAAUAGGAUCACUGGUUCAAGCACAGUGUGGGACAGGGAAGGAAGAUAUACUGUUUUUGCAUUAAUGCUACGCACCUGAUUCAAAUCAUCAAGAUAAGUUGAUCAUUUGAAUUGGCUGUGUAGUGCUACUGCAAAAAGAAAAAUGUGCAACCCUUUGUAUCCCCAGGUCCAGGAUUAAGAAAUGCUGUUCUAUCUAGACUAAUCAAAUUCCCCACCUCACCUCUCCCUGGCUACUGUCUGUAGAUAUGAUCCAAUUCUGUGAAUUCAUUGACUAUACUUCAAUGAAUGUUUGUUACGUGUACCUAUUCGCUUUCUUUGCCGGCAACAAGCAUGUACAGUGUUUCUUUUUCCACAUUUUGUUUUUUUACAGCCUGAAUUUUAAAUGGUUUAAAUUGAGAUUUUUGUUCACUGGCCAAAAUAAUCUAAUGUCCCUCAGUCGAGAAGUGAAUUUCAAACACAGAUUCAACCACAAAGACCAGGGAGAUUUUCCAAUGCCUCACAAAGAAGAUGGGUAAAUAUUUAAAAAAGCAGACAUUGAAUAUCCCUUUGAGCAUGGUGAAGUUAUUAAUUAGACUUUAGAUGGUGUAUCAAUACAGCCGGUCAAUACAAAGAUACAGGUGUCUUUUCUAUCUCAGUUGCCGGAGAGGAAAGAAACUGCUCAGGGAUUUCACCAAGUGGCCAAUGGUGACUUUAAAACAGUUACAGAAUUUAAUGGCUGUGAUUGGAGAAAACUGAGGCUGGAUCAACAACAUUGUAGUUACUCCACAAUACUAACCUAAUUGAGUGAAAAGAAGGAAGCCUGUACAGAAUAAAAAUAUUGCAAAACAUGCAUCCUGUUUACAACAAGGCACUAAAGUAAUACUGCAAACAAAUGUGGCAAAGAAAUUAACUUUUUGUCCUGAUUACAAAUUGUUAUGUUUGGGGCAAAUCCAAUAUAACACAUUACUGAGUACCACUCUCCAUAUUUUCAAGCAUAGUGGUGGCUGCAUCAUGUUAUGGGUAUGUUUGUAAUUGUUAAGGACUGGGGAAUUUUUCAGGAUAAAAAAUGUAUGGAAUGGAACUAAGCACAGGAAAAUUCAAGAGGAAGACCUGGUUCAGUCUGCUUUCCACCAGACACUGGGAGAUGAAUUCACCUUUCAUCAGGACAAUAGCCUAAAACACAAGGCCAAAUCUACACUGGAGUUGCUUAUUAAGAAGACAGUGAAUGUUCCUGAGUGGCCGAGUUACAGUUUUGACUUAAUUAAAUUAGAUGUAAUGUCCCCUGUUUUCGGGACCUGCGUGGUUCUGGUACCGGUUCCGACGGACAUUUUUACUUAUAAAUCAAUCUGUGGACACCAUAAAUCGCUUGCAUUGAACGAUAGCCCUGGUUCCCACAGACACAGUAGUAUUUUUUCUGAGCCUGUACAACAUAGGAUGUUAAAUCUGAAACCACUUGAAUCUGGGAUGUCCCUCCUACCAUUUAAUUAGCUCUUUUGACUGUCCAUCAACUCCUGGCUGAACCCUACAUACAGUAGCUGCCACUGACAAAGCACAUGCCUGCAAUUGUUACAUUAUAGCAGGGGAGAGUGCUUUUAUCACGGUAGCACAUUCAGAGAUCCAUUUAUAGUCAUUCAUCUAAAAUAAUUAAUAGAUUUUAAACCAACGAAACCUUUCUGUUUGUCAUAGACUGAGAAUAGUAAGAUGAGAUGAAAGACAAGUUCCAAACGAGUUCAGGAAGCCAAGCUAGAGCUCUGUGAGACGUUCACAACGAUGGGGGCAGAUGUUUAGUCAAGAGAGACCUUUAGUAAAUAUGCACAUUUUCUCCAACACUAAACAUACAAAUAUGUAUUUUAAAGUUAUAAGGAAGAUUCAAUCUUAUGGUUAGUCAGUUUAUAAUUUGAUUAUGCUAUGUGUAGGAAGCAUAUCAGUGUCACGUCCUGACCAUAGUAAGCUGUUCUUUUCUAUGGUAGAGUAGGUCAGGGUGUGACGGGGGGGUUUUCUAGUUUUGUUUUUCUAUGUUGGGUUGUUCUAGUUUUGUAUUUCUAUGUUGGGCUGUGUUUGGGGUGAUCUCCAAUUAGAGGCACUUGGUCAUCGUUGUCUCUAAUUGGGGGUCAUAUUUAAGUUGGUGUUUGUCCCACCUGGGUUUGUGGGAGAUACAUUUUGAGUAGUGUAUGUUUCACCUCUGCAUCACGGUUUGUUGUUUUUGUCAUUCAGUUUAUUUAUGUAUUGCAUAGUUUCACAGUAUAAAUAAAAUGUGGAACGACACACACACGCACUUCGGUCCGCUCAUUCCAACGACAACCGUGACAAGUCAUUUCAAGCCUUAUUCAUACAGUUUUGUUGAAUAGGAAAUACAUCAUAUAACAUAUUUCAUUUUUUUAAAUCCUAUUUGUACUGUGUAAGUGCGCUAGUGUCCUCAAAAGUGACUACACUAGAUUAUUUGAGUAUGCAGCAUUACUAGUUACUGUUUAUGGCCC
rnacentral:lncRNA from 1 species